rnacentral:rRNA from 1 species
ACUGUGAAACUGCGAAUGGCUCAUUAAAUCAGUUAUCGUUUAUUUGAUAGUACCUUACUACUUGGAUACCCGUGGUAAUUCUAGAGCUAAUACAUGCUAAAAACCCCGACUUCGGGAGGGGUGUGUUUAUUAGAUAAAAAACCAAUGCCCUUCGGGGCUUCUUGGUGAUUCAUGAUAACCAAACGAAUCGCAUGGCCUUGAGCCGGCGAUGGUUCAUUCAAAUUUCUGCCCUAUCAACUUUCGAUGGUAGGAUCUGGGCCUACCAUGGUAUCAACGGGUAACGGGGAAUUAGGGUUCGAUUCCGGAGAGGGAGCCUGAGAAACGGCUACCACAUCCAAGGAAGGCAGCAGGCGCGCAAAUUACCCAAUCCCGACACGGGGAGGUAGUGACAAUAAAUACUGAUACAGGGCUCUUUUGGGUCUUGUAAUCGGAAUGAGUACAAUUCAAAUCUCUUAACGAGGAACAAUUGGAGGGCAAGUCUGGGGCCAGCAGCCGCGGUAAUUCCAGCUCCAAUAGCGUAUAUUAAAGUUGUUGCAGUUAAAAAGCUCGUAGUUGAACCUUGGGCCAGGCUGGCCGGUCCGCCUAACCGCGUGCACUGGUCCGGCCGGGCCUUUUCCUCUGGGGAGCCGCAUGCCCUUCACUGGGCGUGUCGGGGAACCAGGACUUUUACUUUGAAAAAAUUAGAGUGUUCAAAGCAGGCCUUUGCUCGGAUACAUUAGCAUGGAAUAAUAGAAUAGGACGUGCGGUCCUAUUUUGUUGGUUUCUAGAACCGCCGUAAUGAUUAAUAGGGACAGUCGGGGGCAUCAGUAUUCAGACGCGAGAGGUGAAAUUCUUAGACCGUCUGAAGACUAACUACUGCGAAAGCAUUUGCCAAGGAUGUUUUCAUUAAUCAGUGAACGAAAGUUGGGGGAUCGAAGGCGAUCAGAUACCGUCGUAGUCUCAACCGUAAACUAUGCCGACUAGGGAUCGGGCGACGUUCCAAUUAUGACUCGCCCGGCAC